GAUGAACGCUGGCGGCGUGCUUAACACAUGCAAGUCGAACGAAGCAUUUAAAACAGAUUAUUUCGGUAUGAAGUUUUUUAUGACUGAGUGGCGGACGGGUGAGUAACGCGUGGGUAACCUGCCUUGUACUGGGGGAUAGCAGCUGGAAACGGCUGGUAAUACCGCAUAAGCGCACGGCGCUGCAUGGCACAGUGUGAAAAACUCCGGUGGUAUAAGAUGGACCCGCGUCUGAUUAGCUAGUUGGUGAGAUAACAGCCCACCAAGGCGACGAUCAGUAGCCGACCUGAGAGGGUGACCGGCCACAUUGGGACUGAGACACGGCCCAGACUCCUACGGGAGGCAGCAGUGGGGAAUAUUGCACAAUGGAGGAAACUCUGAUGCAGCGACGCCGCGUGAGUGAAGAAGUAAUUCGUUAUGUAAAGCUCUAUCAGCAGGGAAGAUAGUGACGGUACCUGACUAAGAAGCUCCGGCUAAAUACGUGCCAGCAGCCGCCGUAA
rnacentral:rRNA from 1 species